AAAAUGCGAUACGUAAUGCGAAUUGCAGAAUUCAGUGAAUCAUCAAAUCUUUGAACGCAAGUUGCGCUUUCGAGAUAGGCUCGAGAGCAUGCCUCCUUGAGUAUCGGUAACACCCCUCACCCUUUUUUUGGGUGGAGCAUGAGUGGCUUCCGACUUUUUUCUUUUCUCUCUCUAAAACAGAAAGAAAAAGAAAGAGUCGGUCACUUGAAAUGCAAAUAUACAGCCAGAGCCCAGAGAGAUCUCUUCUCUCUAAGCCGUGUGUAUCUUCUAAAGCCACGUUAGUUAAAAACUGCCAACGUACUUUAGGUCACAUGAGACGACACGGCGCGCGAAUACUUGGCACGGUUCCAAUUAAAAUGGAACCAAACACAAACUGUCUACAAUGAUCUCAAGUGAGGUA
rnacentral:misc_RNA from 1 species